rnacentral:lncRNA from 1 species
UUUUUCUUUUUUUUUUUUUUUCACCCCUCUGUUUUUAUUAAAGCUGUUAUACACUUGUCCUCCCAUUUUAUUCCCUGUUAGGAGAUCAUCCAUCAAACCCAUGAAGUGACAAAGAUCCAGCAAGUCCGUGAAGUGACGAAGAUCCGCGCUGGAGAGCAUCUGAGGAUUCCAUGCCGACGGCCGGGUAGCCACAGCGAGGUCAUCCUCUCUCUGCAAAACUACAACCUUAUUACAUCACUGCAGCCUGCAAUUACUGUCGGAGUAGAGAAUGGCAAGCUGUCUGCUGAGGCAGAAUUAAACCAAUCCCAGCUGCGGCAGCUGCCCCACCGAGUGACCCUGGUUUUGCUCCGAGCAGACCGCGCUGGGGACCCUGCGCGGCUCCCUGGGACAGGAAGGGAAGGAGACCGCCACCCCCAGCUGAGCCACACCUAAGUCAAUUAGGGCUUCACACCCCGGGAGAGAAGGAAAUCCGUGACUAGGCUCCCUUUUCUCCUCUGAGGUCAAAGAGGAGGUUUUCCCCUCCACUGAGCGUUCAUUGUCUCGGAGAGGAAGUCUGACAUCCACACAAGUCUGCCUGGGGCUCAGGAGGAUUGAGGCAGACAAAGCACCCAAGAAACACUUGUAUUUCAGGUUCAUCAGGAUGGGCCUAUUCCAAGUGGAUUAAACACGCGGCGUGUGUGUAGGUUACGAAAGGCAUGCGAGAGGAACUGGCUAGCGUUUGGGGUUAUGAAAGAUCAGAGGUUAUGAAAGACCUUGGCAGUUAUGAAAGAUGAGCCAAGAGUCUGAUCCAGCAAGGCAGAGAGCAGCCUCAACCAGCUCGCAGGUGAAUGGACAGUCAAAGUCAGCCAGCAGCUCACAUCAGGAAGCUCACACUGCCUGGGCAGGCCUAGGCUAAGGAAGGUUUGAAAAAAUCAUGUACUAGGAGAAUGAUAAAGAGAAAUAUUACCAUUUAAAGGCCUUACAGCUGUAUUUUCUUGCAAAGUAUUUUGGAAAGUCUUAAAAUACUAGCUGCAGUUACUGCUUUUCUAAGUAUUCUUUACUGGCCUUCUAGUCCUGUUUUAAAUCUACCUGCACAAGCCACAUAGCUGCAGUAAAUCUGUAAAAAACGAGGGCUCAUUCAGAUAUUUUAGCCUCGCAAGUUCAGCUUCCCGUGAUCCUAUUAUCACUAUUCUACCACCAGAAUGAAAAGAAGGCUGGGGAAAUUCUGCUGUUGAAAUGCUUAUUUUCCAGACAUCACUUAGAAAGAGGACAUACUCCCGGCGAAGAAAAAUAUUGAGGAGAGCACUUCCCCCUCUUUGCAACAGUACUUCUCUGUGAAGUUGUGUGUAACUUUCUGUAGAUACCUUCAGUGGGGAUACUUGUGUAUCCUGCCUACUGCAUUGUAAUUCACACUGACUGCUUUUAAAACAUGCCUUAAACAGUCUUCCAAAUGCCCCUGUGAUAGUCUAAUAAAAACAAACCUCCAGGCAUUUAGGCAGACCCCAGGCAUACAGGAAGAAACCACUUGCACUACAUCAGAUUAGGAUCUAGCCUGUUUCAGCAAUAGGUAUAGACUUUUGUUGUUGGUAAAUUCUGUACCUAAAACUUUGUAGUUCAAGGAAAAACACAGAAAGCACUUCUAUCAUGGUCUGAGAUGCUUCCUGGAAUGCAAAACCAUGAUUACCUCUACAUCUUCUUUUUCACCGACGUUAAAGCUGUCUAUACUACAUCUCAGCAGUCCGCAAAUCUCACCAGAAAAUAUAUUUAUCCAUCUGGCCCUGCACAGAAACUCUCUAGGGAAGGUCCUGAAGACACCUCAUGCUAUGGCAGCAAUAAAAAGCACAAAUUUCCAGAACCUAGAAGAAACUCAGAUUAAGGAAGAAUCCAGACCAAUUCUAUGCUAUACUAGUCCAAAUUAUACUGCAUGUUUGUAGGGGUUUUGCACUUAAGGAAAUUAAUCAAACAUAGGAACGAUGCAAAUAUGCAUUUGGAGGAAACAAGUGACUUAGAACUAUCAGUCAGCAGAAAGAUUGACAAACAUUUGGUGAAGAUUUAUUCAACAAAAUUUCAUCAUUUCAUGCUUCAACCAAAUUUACACACUUUGUGUAGUAGUUAAUUCACCUUCUCAUAGUUUGUUACCAUUUUUUUUUUCCUGAUUCAAAAUGGGGACUACAAAAUAUUUCAUUAAGUAAACUGACAGCCUUACUGUCUUUGUGGCAUCCACUGCCAGGGUGCAGCUUAGAAAUUUAAAGAAUUAAGUUGAAUUCUUGUGGUACAAUCUACAAAGUUCACUCCCUUGCUUUAGAAGGAAAAGGUCUGAGUGUUUAAUUUUAGAAAGUGUCUAUUAUUUUUGUGAACUGCCUAGGCAAGCGUGUCCCUCUCAUCCCAAAAUCAUCUUUGUCCUACAAGAUAAAAAACAAAAGAAAGCAGGUCUAGAUUUAGGAUCUGUUACAUUAAGUAGACUACCCAUAUCAAUUUAAUUUAGCCUAGUCUCUAGGAAAUUAAUUAAUUUUGUGCUCAGAGAUAGGAAAUGUUGGUGUUAGGCAAUUUUCUUCAUGUAAAUUCGUUACUAAAUCAUCUCUAUUCUAGCCCUGAAAAUGAAACUCUCAACCACAAAGCAGGUGCUGAAAGACAAUAACAAAUUUCAUGCACUCUGUGUACCUAAUGCCUCUUUCAAAAAGCGACGCUGAUGGAUUCAGUCCCUGGGCUCUCUUUUUUCCCAUUCAAUGCCAAUGUGCAUCAGAACAAGUCAUUUGGAAAAGCCUCACUCUGACAGAUAAAGUGUGUGUUCCCAACACUCACUCGGUGUUUUAAGCACAACAGUCUGGCUGCUCUAUUGCAUAAGCACGAAUUCAUCCUGGGCUCCCCUCCUUCGGAGAGGCGGAUCCAGAAUCGCUCAGCUCUGUUCCCUGUUCUGCCGGCAUGGCAAUUUGGCUUAUACGGGUUCUGGAACAGCGGGUUCUCAAUUCUCUUCUUCUCAUCC